rnacentral:rRNA from 1 species
CAUAGGUUAAUGAGGCGAACCGGGGGAACUGAAACAUCUAAGUACCCCGAGGAAAAGAAAUCAACCGAGAUUCCCCCAGUAGCGGCGAGCGAACGGGGAGGAGCCCAGAGCCUGAAUCAGUGUGUGUGUUAGUGGAAGCGUCUGGAAAGGCGCGCGAUACAGGGUGACAGCCCCGUACACAAAAAUGCACAUGCUGUGAGCUCGAUGAGUAGGGCGGGACACGUGGUAUCCUGUCUGAAUAUGGGGGGACCAUCCUCCAAGGCUAAAUACUCCUGACUGACCGAUAGUGAACCAGUACCGUGAGGGAAAGGCGAAAAGAACCCCGGCGAGGGGAGUGAAAAAGAACCUGAAACCGUGUACGUACAAGCAGUGGGAGCCUCUUAAUGGGGUGACUGCGUACCUUUUGUAUAAUGGGUCAGCGACUUAUAUUCUGUAGCAAGGUUAACCGAAUAGGGGAGCCGAAGGGAAACCGAGUCUUAACUGGGCGUUAAGUUGCAGGGUAUAGACCCGAAACCCGGUGAUCUAGCCAUGGGCAGGUUGAAGGUUGGGUAACACUAACUGGAGGACCGAACCGACUAAUGUUGAAAAAUUAGCGGAUGACUUGUGGCUGGGGGUGAAAGGCCAAUCAAACCGGGAGAUAGCUGGUUCUCCCCGAAAGCUAUUUAGGUAGCGCCUCGUGAAUUCAUCUCCGGGGGUAGAGCACUGUUUCGGCAAGGGGGUCAUCCCGACUUACCAACCCGAUGCAAACUGCGAAUACCGGAGAAUGUUAUCACGGGAGACACACGGCGGGUGCUAACGUCCGUCGUGAAGAGGGAAACAACCCAGACCGCCAGCUAAGGUCCCAAAGUCAUGGUUAAGUGGGAAACGAUGUGGGAAGGCCCAGACAGCCAGGAUGUUGGCUUAGAAGCAGCCAUCAUUUAAAGAAAGCGUAAUAGCUCACUGGUCGAGUCGGCCUGCGCGGAAGAUGUAACGGGGCUAAACCAUGCACCGAAGCUGCGGCAGCGACACUAUGUGUUGUUGGGUAGGGGAGCGUUCUGUA